GGCCGUGUAGCUCGGUGGGUGGGGCGUCGAUCUAGUAAUUCGAAGGUCGCGGGUUCAAGACCCAGCCGCGGCGG